UAAGGGUACCGGUAAAUGCAGACAGGAGAAUAUGAUGAUGAACAUACAACAACAUUUUACUAAAUGUGAUGUAGAAAAAGUGCCAUAUACAAUGUUGUAAAAAAAAAAAUCAGCAAUCCUCCUUCCCCAACACUGACUUACACACUGUGUAUGUCAUGUGUUACCAAAGAUACAUAAUUUAUUAUCUUUUAAGUUUUAUACGUCGGUUAGCUUAUUUUUACACUUCACAAAUACAACUUCAACAUUGGAGGGUGGUGGUUUAAUGCUGGAACAGAUUAUUUCUGUUUCCACUAUUUUGAAUUUGACAAAUUAAUUUUAAGCACUUGUGUUCCAACAUCAUAGUUUCCACUAUACAAUGGAAAAACAGGAAGUUUUCAUCCAUUGUAUUCUGUAUGGCAGCAUCAAUAGUUGCAUAAAGGAGCGCAGGAAUGACAUACCAUAACUACAUGAACAAGUUUGAAAAUGUUAAGCCAAAACCGAAUUGCAUAAAAAGGAUAGUUUCCUGAAUCUGUCAGAGCCUCACACAUUAUUAAAUCAUGGACAUUUUGUGUUUUCGAACUCCAUCCAUCCAUUUUCUGAGCCGCUUCUCCGCACUAGGGUUGCGGGCGUGCUGGAGCCCAUCCCAGCUAUCAUCGGGCAGGAGGCGGGGUACACCCUGAACUGGUUGCCAGCCAAUCGCAGGGUGUUUUCAAACUAAAUUACUUAAUUUGUAAACAGCAAAUGAAGUAAUUAUAUUGUUCUGGGUUCAAAAUUACUGUAAAAUCCCAGUGAUAACUCUGAAUUGCGGGAAUUAUUUUGAAGUUAUAAAUAACAGGUUUCAGGAGCUGCAGAGCCUUGAUUAUGAAGUUUCUAAUAAUUGUCAUUGUACAUACCUGGUUAAAGAUGUCUUCCCUAAUAGCUUCACAAUCCACCUUGUAUUUACAGAGGAGACAGGAAGCAGUUGCAAAUGACCCUAAAAGUGCCAUUUCAGUUAUUUUAGACUUUUUGAAGAUCUAUAUUUCCCUUCCAAAUAACUAACUUACCGUGACACUGGAUGAUUCGCUGAACUCCGGCCACUUGUUCUAAUGUAUCGAUAUUUUGUGUGUAGUUACGCAGCAGCUUGCCCUGCUUGUCCAUCAUGGAAAUGAACUUGUGACAGGGUGAAGGCUGGAAUUGACCAGGGUAGAUCUCCUGUGACAAAGACAAUGCACUUAGCACUUGCAAGUAAAACUGACACACUAGUUACCACUGCACUGACUUCGCAAGAAUAAACAUACAUGAAGCAAACCUUAGCAAACUUGAAAAACGGCCUUGGGUCUCUUUGGAAGUAUUCAAUGUCAAACAUAGCUUGUGGGUCUGGAAGAUCAGGAAAAUCAACGGCAAGACGGGCAUAAAUUCCAUCUCUGGAGCGAAAAUCUGGUAUGCCACAUGAAACAGAUACCUGAAGGAAGAGCCGAUAAUGUAAACUUAGUGUGGCCAUAAAAUCACAUACGGUACAGUGCCCCUGCAUGAACAGUAAAUCCCUGUAUGUCACGGUUUAGCUUUUGACAUUUUUAGGUGAUAUAUUUUUUAAUUGGUUUAUACAGUAUACAGGAAAGCCCAAAUUUAGUUGCACAGUAAAAGAAUGACAAUAAAGAAGUCGAUCGAAUCGAGCAAUCAAUCUACACUCCAUUAAUGGUCAUCAUUCCUACAGAACAAGAUAGAAUAUGCCUGUGAGUAAUUUAAUGCAUUCUGUAUAUUUGUGUGUUUAUGACUCUGUCUUAAAGUAGCAGUUUAUAAUUAUCGGAAGACCAAUGCUUAUUUCCGUUUAUGGUGUUUCACAUUAUGUCAAGUCAGCAUUAAGCUAGAGGACUUGCCUUAGAAGACAUAAUGCGGUCACUUUUCAUAGAACAUUUGGAAGAUAAAUAUUCAAUGUUUAAUUCUCUUGUUUUAUGUGUCAGGUUCACAGGAAACUUAAACUGGGAGUGAAAAAGACCUUGAAGCAAUCAUGAUUUGCCUCUUAUCUGUGGAACCGUGAGCAAGUCUUUUGUUUGCUCAUAGUGUCUUUAAAAGGGAACUAAACCCCCAUUUUUAAAGCAAGAAUACAUUUUAUGUGCCUGCACUGGAACAACACGAUACUCUGAUUAGUUAUUGCGUUUGUGGGAUAAGAAUUAGACGGAAUAAUUAAUCAACAUAAGGGCGGCGCCACGUUGGACGAAAUGAUUUUCAGCUGCAGACCGAAAGUGACAUUGAAGUGCAAGUAGCAUCUUGUAUGCUAAUACAAGCGGGCUAUUGAACUGUGUAGAGAUUGUUGAGGAUGAUAGAUUUUAUUGUUCGAUCCUGUGUACACCAUGGCUGAGAUGGAAAACAUGCAGAGGAAGGGUAUUGAAGAGCAACAGCGUUGUACAUCAACUUCUUGACGUGAAAGAGAUCUGCAAAAAUAAUUCCAGAUUGCCUCACACCUCAGAGGUUCUGAGAUGUUGAUGAUGAUCUGCCACAGUGUCAUGUCAUCUAAAUCUGGUGGGAGUACAGUCUCAGGCAGCAA